AUGGAUCGGAGGAGGAUCACGGUGCUCCUGGUGGAGGACGAGGAGAUCCACAGGGUUGUGGCGAGAGCGGUGCUGAGGGCGGCCGGCGUGGAGGCCGACGAGGCGGAGAACGGGGCGGAGGCGGUGCGGCGCGUGCGGGGGCGCGUCGGAGGCGGCGGCGCCGGCGCGUAUGACCUCAUCCUCACGGACAAGCAGAUGCCGGUCAUGGAUGGCCGCGAGGCGACGAGGCAGAUCCGGGCGAUGGGGGUGACCACGCCGAUCGUCGCCGUGUCCAGCGACAACCUCCCGUCAGACGUCCAGGCCUUCAUCGCCGCCGGCGCCGACGACUUCACGCCCAAGGUGACGAUCCAUCCAAUCCACCGGAUCAAUCGUGUUUUGCUCCUGAUGUGCGUACCGAACGCCCAUGACUCUCGCUCUGACCGUUUGCUGAUGCACGCACACGCACCCAUCCCAUGCAUGCAGCCGCUGACCAAGGAGAAGCUGGGCCACAUUCUCUCCAAGUUCGGGCUUGCGUAG
rnacentral:rRNA from 1 species